AUUGAACGCUGGCGGCAGGCCUAACACAUGCAAGUCGAACGAGUGGCGGACGGGUGAGUAAUGUCUGGGAAACUGCCUGAUGGAGGGGGAUAACUACUGGAAACGGUAGCUAAUACCGCAUACCAUCGGAUGUGCCCAGGUGGGAUUAGCUAGUAGGUGGGGUAAAGGCUCACCUAGGCGACGAUGCCUAGCUGGGCUGAGAGGAUGACCAGCCACACUGGAACUGAGACACGGUCCAGACUCCUACGGGAGGCAGCAGUGGGGAAUAUUGCACAAUGGGCGCAAGCCUGAUGCAGCCAUGCCGCGUGUAUGAAGAAGGCCUUCGGGUUGUAAAGUACUUUCAGCGGGGAGGCGUUACCCGCAGAAGAAGCACCGGCUAACUCCGUGCCAGCAGCCGCGGUAAUUC
rnacentral:rRNA from 1 species